CCCGCCACUGUGCCUGCCUGACUUCAACCGUGGCUGGUCCAUUCCAGUGGUGAGCUAAGAACAAACCCCAUUCAAGGAAACAGGGUUGCUCUCUCUGUGGGCAGCUCUGUGCCGAAGACUGGGAACAGAU